AGGCACUGAGAGGGAGGGUCCAAAGCUGGGCUUUGAUAUUCUAUUUGCUCUGUAUCAUCCAAAUUUAGAUGCCAAGUUAACUUUGUUUUAUUAUGCGGAUAAGACUGACUUAAGAGAUUAACAUAUUCCCUCGUGAGUUGAGACGAGUUCUAUUCCCCACGCAGCACUCGCAUUCUUCUUCUUUUUUCUUUUCUUUUUUUUCCUUUUUUGUUGAAAAAAUAUAAGUUAUGUUUGUACAAUGUAGGAACCCACCACAUCCUUAUUGGAGAUCCUGAGUGACAGUUGAAGGGAGUAGUUACCGAGUUGGUGAGCUUCCUCAUCUUAUUUACAAGAUAAGUAUUCUAACACAAUAUAAUAUACAUCUCAAUCUAAACUAACUGGAGUGUUAAAGUUUUAUUGUAGGUAUUAUUAAUAUCACCAUUCACCACAUGUCCAAGUCUUAGUUAUGUUCUGUAAUCAUUGUAGGGAUGGACAUAGUAUAUCUUGGAAGACUUGCAUCACGUAGAUAAGUUAAUCUCUCCAUUAACAAAAUAGUCUCUGGAAGGGUAGUCUUUCAUUCAAUUAAGUUGAUCCGUCCAUUAAGUCUUUUUACAAUAACUUUAACAUCAUGCGUGACACAUUUGUAUCGUCUAUGUAUACAAAAG
rnacentral:lncRNA from 1 species